CUACAUCUGCUCCUUUGGAGACUCCAUGACAGAUCUACACUUAAUAAUUGGGAGGCCCUUCGACUAGAAGGAUUAAGAAAUUAUAGCUAAUACAAUGUAUCCAUGUAAUAUGCUUAAGAAUAAAAUAAUUAAGCUCAUGAAGACCUGUGUCUGUUUUUAUUUUCUCAGGUCCUACAGAGACUGUAAAGCUGUAUAGCUCUGCAUACAUUCCUACAGACUUACUUCUAAGGGUGAAUGCGAAAGACAUGCCUGAUUAUUCCUGUAAGCCAAUCAGAGACCUUAGUACCUCUUCAAAGCAAUAAGAUAAGUAAAGUUUUGCCUUUGUCACAUCAAGACUGCUGUACCUUAAGGCAAAAAUGCUGUACCUGCAUUUCUUCAUUAUCUCUGGGAACUGUUAUUGAGAAUAAAGCUACCUAAUGAGUUAUUCUAUUAUAAUUCUCUAUACUCAAGCUAAAUGGGUUAUAAUCUACAUAAGGGUAACUUAUCACUACCCACUCUCUGGGAAUCUGAAAAAUAUGUUGUUUUCAUCUUAAGGGGCACCCCACUUAUAAUUUUUGUUCCAGUUUUGUUUAUGCUAGUCAGCAAACUUUUAUGUUUCAGAACUCAACUUCUGGGAGUAACUGACCAUGCAGGGGACACAGACAUUGGCAAUGACCAAGACUGCUCCCACUCACAAAACGAAUUUGUUAGAUAGGCUAUGCGGAGAAUUCCAGACCCAUAGGCAGAGCCUGCACUAUGCCCCCAUAAGCAGGAAGCAUUUACAGAAGAGAUAAUUCUACACCUAUCAACUUCCCUUAGGAUUAAGGGAUGAAGUCUCUGAGGGGGAAAUGAAGUAGACAGGCAUACAGGUUAAAAUUGAUUAGGCUUGUGAGCUGGAAGACCAUGCCUUUGCCACACCCCUGUGUGACCUCAUGCCCCUACCUGGCCACAUCUGAGCACCCACUGGCCAAUCAGGUUAAUUAGCCACUCUCCUUUGAUAAUGGAUUAAAAAUCUGUGACAUAGUGUGUCUAUCCCCCCUUUUAUUCCUUUUUGUCACCGUGGCCUCUUGCCAGUGGGGGGCUGGCUGUAGCCCUGUGCCUUCAGGGUGUUAGGGUCAGAAAAAGCCCACUGCCCGAGGAACGACUCCAAGAGACUUUUCUCUCAUGCAACCAGCAAAGGGUUAAAGAUUUAUUGAUCCAACAUGUUGGGGCUCUCUGAACAUACAAGGACAGAGGAGCCCCGAGGAACUACAGCAUAGGGUUUAUAAAGGCAAAAACCGCAAAAUCGGGAGGGGGGAGAGAAUACACGGUUGCUAAGCGGUUGCUAAUAUCUUACAAUCAGCAAUUAUGAUCUUAAGACAUAGACAAAUCACAUCUUCAUUAUUAGCUCAGGUAACCCAGGUGCAACCUUUUUAUUUUUAAGCUUGAGCAAUCAUGCUAGGGGGUUUUUGUGCGUUGCCAAGGGUGAUGUAGUGCACUGCUAUUGUCUGACUAUUUGAGAUCAUAGUUUCAGACCAGUCUCACGGUGUGUGGGGGGGUGCUUUCCCAGAAUGGAGUGUCAAGUGCUCCAAAAUGGAGUCCCUACUGUCAAGGUGCUACUUCACUCUGUUUUAUUUUCACAGCUGCACCAGGAAGGUUUAAACCUGUAAGCUUAAGCUUAACUUUUUACACCCGCACAUAUACAAUUUUAACUCUUCACAGGGCACAUGGCCUUCGGGCCAAGCUGCCCUAUGCUUCCUGGCCUGGAUGCUCUUCCACGUGGCUGGUUCCUGGUACUUGGUGUGAACGCAGAUCUAUCUCUCUCCUAGAAAUAAAGCCCUCACUCUCCUAUGCAUCUUUCACACUAAAUAAAAGCUUAAAAUGUAAAAAAAAAAUAGAAUACCACUCUAAAUACUAGUGUCUGAUCAUUAACAUCACUUGUGAAAGAAGUAACCCUAUCCUCUUAGACUCAUCAAACUUCUCUCUUAACGUGUUCUCACUAUCCAACAUUGUAUGACAGCUUUUGAACACCAGGAUUUCAUUUUUUUUGAAACAGUAAAGUGUUGCAGUCUUGAGUGUGCUGGAACAGGUUAAUAGGGGCUUCAGGUAGCCAGUUGUUAAAUUUUCUGGAAGUUCAAGAGCUGUUUGAUGUCAUCUUAGCUUUCAGCUUUGAAAUUCCCUGUGUGCAGGGAACAUGUUUCAUGGAACGUGGCCAAUUGUACAAGUCAGAGCAAUUUCCCCAUUCUGCACCACACAAAUUAGUUUUAAAUAAAGAGGAUUCUGAAAUUUCUUUAGUGAGUGAUGAUCAAAAUUCUAGAAGUGUUUUUAUGUAUGUACCAAAAAACUUGCAUACAUUUGACUACAUUCAUCUGUGACAAAUGAUGAUUCAAUUUAAAACAUUUAAAAUAUUUAAACUAUAAAUCUGAGAGGAUUUCAAAGGGUUCAUGGAAAAUGGAAUUAAAGUGUAAUUUUAUUUUGGGGUACAAAAGAUUUGGAGCUAUGCAUGUUGGAAAUCUUUAAAGUUCAUGAAAAUUGCAUAUUAUUUAAAAAGUGUAUAUAGUUUUUAUUUUAUUUAUUUAUUUAUUUUGACAGGCAGAGUGGACAGUGAGAGAGAGAGACAGAGAGAAAGGUCUUUCUUUUGCCGUUGAUUCACCCUCCAAUGGCCACCGUGGCUGGCACGCUGUGGCCGGUGCACUGCACUGAUCCGAUGGCAGGAGCCAGGUACUUCUCCUGGUCUCCCAUGGGGUGCAGGGCCCAAGUACUUGGGCCAUCCUCCACUGCACUCCCUGGACACAGCAGAAAGCUGGCCUGGAAGAGGGGCAACUGGAACAGAAUCCGGCGCCCUGACUGGGACUAGAACCCGGUGUGCCGGCGCCGCAAGGCGGAGGAUUAGCCUACUGAGCCGCGGCGCCGGCCAAAAGUGUAUAUAGUUUUAAAAGUUCUUCACACUGACAUAAACUUAUCUUUUUAAAAAACAUUUAUUUGAGAGGUAGAGGUGUUUAUAUCAAUAUAUUUAAAUUACACUAGGUAGCAAUGACAAACAUUCAAGUUUAUUUUGUAUACAAUGAUUAACAACAAAAUUUCUUUUCAUAUUUCUCUAUAGCUAAGGCUGCUCAGAAAGAUAUUUUAAAUAUAGUGAGUUUCAAAUGUAGGCUUACUUUCUUCAGAUUAGGAAGUUAUCAUGCAUUUAAAAUAAAUGCUACUGAACAUAAAUUACAAAGAAAGAGUACUUUUUCAGAUUAUACUUUUACUUUUUUUUUAAAGAUUUAUACAUUUACUUGAGAAGCAGAGUUACAGAGAGAGAGGUCUUCCAUUGCUGGUUCACUCCCCAAAUGCCUGUAAUGGCUGGAGAUGGGCAGAUCCGAAGCCAGGAGCUUCUUCCAGGUCUCCCAUGCAAGUGCAGAGGCCCAAGCACUUGGGCCAUCUUCUGCUGCCUUCCCAGGCCACAGAGAGCUUGAUUGGAAGUGGAGCAGCUGGGAUAUGAACUGGUGUUUUGGGAUGCUGGUGCUGCAGAAGGAGACUGUGUCACAACCCCACAAACUUAUCUUUUAAUUUCAUUCUCCCUGAAUUAUUUGCACACAUACAUAAAAUAUAUAUAAACAUUUUUUAGUUUGACUUACUUUGAAAGUAGAUGACAAUGUCAUUAAAUUAUAUUUAAAAACUGACAUGCUUCAGUUUGAGGCGUUUUUAGUAACAGAGCUAUAAAAAGAUAUUAUGAGAGAAAUAAAAGCACUCAGACCUGCUAAAACACUUUUAUUUCUUAAAAAGCAAGCAUACUUAACCCUAACUGAUGGGCCAAAGGAAUUGUGAGCACAGCCAAGUUUUUAAAAAUAUGUAUUAGUAGAAAGAGCAUCACCUCAUUUAUAAAAUGAAUUUUAUUUUUUAAGAAAAGAAAGAUGCAUUUUACUAAAUGCUACAUGUCAAGUGACAGUGAAGUGAUUUAAGUGGAAUUAAAAUACCAGUAAAUGUGUCAGUAAAAAUUUCAGUUGAGGGGCCAGCAUUUUGGUGCGAUAGGUUAGGCUGCCACCUGCAAAGCCUGCAUUCCAUUUGAAGCCCAGUUUGAGUCAUGGCUGCUCUUCUUCCAGUCCAGCUCCCUGCUAAUGUGCCUUAGAAAACAGCAAAAGACAGCCCAAGUCCUUGGGUCCUGCCUGCUCCCCACAUGGGAAGCUUGGAUGGAGUUCCAGGCUCUUAGCUUUGGUCUGGCCCAACCAUUGAGGGGAGUGAACCAUUUCCUGAGUGAAUCAGCAGAUGGAAGAUGUCUUUUUCCUUAUCUUUCCCUCUCUCUAUGUCACUCUACCUUUCAAAAAAACUAAGGUAAAUCCUUAAAAAUUGUUUUCAGUUAAUUAAAUCUCACUCAUGGUACAUUUUAUUUGAUAUUGUCAAUAGUAAGUGUUAUUACUAAACUUAUUUUCUCUCUCCCACAUCUGUACUUUAAAUUCUCUCAAUUUUCUGCUUGCAACAAUCAUGCAUGGAUUCUAUAGAUUAGGAAUCUGAACUUGAAAAGAGAAUUGGCUUAGAAGACCAUGGAAGCGGCAAAUUGCAAUGAUUUUCAACUCAAGUCUUCAGGUGUCAAACCUUCUGCAAUUUUCCCCAAGUCAUUCUUCUUUUCUGAAUCUGUAAAUGUUUUAAGCAAAAAUAUGCCCAUUACAAACUGAUUUUAACCAGAGUUCUGGUUAAUCAGUGCAAAACUUUAAAAGCAUGUGCGGCUACUAAGAUUUAUUUUCUACUCUGACAGUUAUUGCCAUAUGAAACAAAUGAUGUGCUUCACUCGUGUUUCUGUGUGCUGUGUGUAUGCAAGGGUAGGGAUGCUGGUAAAUAACAUUUAGGAACAAAUCAUGUCCCUUUUUGAGAGUGCCAGCUUACAUGUUAAGUACAAGAAAAAUAUACAAUCCCAGUUCAUUUCCCCCCUCAGUGUAAUGAAAUGCUAUCUUCUAUCUAGUAUAUAAUUCUAAAAACUUAUCAAAUAUUUCAAAAGUUAUGAGCCAUGAUAUAUGACAUAUGAAAAAAUCAAAGUAUAGGUUUGGAUGGAGUGCCUUGAUCCAAUACACAAUCAGUACCCUUGGAUUAUCUGCAAGGUGAAAUCUUCAGAUUCACAUAAACUUACUUACAUUCACAUAAACUUACUCAUAUGCCAUUUGGGAGAAAUUAGAAGUAGGUGUAGAAAUUUUUUUGUAUCUAAUCUAAAAUUUGGCUUUUAAAAAUAUAUCAGAUUUCAGUUAAAGCUACUGUCCUAGAAAAUUUGUUUACCAUAAUAUUCAGUUUAGUCUCUGAAAUGCAUACAUAAUAACAGAAUUAAAAUUCCUGUUUAAAAUUUUUAUUUAUUUGUUUAUUUGAAAGGUAAAGAGAAAGAGACUUACCAUUUGUUGAUACACUUACAAAUGCCUACAGUAGCCAUGGCUGGAUCAAACCAAAUUCUCAAGUUAGGAAUUUAAACUCCAUCUCCCAUGUAGGAGACAGGGCCCCAAGCACAUGGGACUGCCUCCCAGCAUAGGAGUCAGAAGAAGCUGAAAUUGGAGGCAGCGCCAGGUCUUGAACUCAAGCCCUCCAAUAUGCAAUGUGGGUGUCCCAAGCAGCUUCUUAACUGCUUAACAAAAUACCCACUUCAUGGUAUUAUCAUUGCUAUUUCCCAUAAAUUGAUUUAGCAAAGAAAAAGGUUAUGUAUCCCAAAGUAUUAACCCUUAACGCAUGAUAGCUUGAUAGUACCCCAAGGACUACUAUUUAUAAUUAUUUAUGGUUAAUUUUAGGUGACUUGUAUCCAAAACUUGAUUGUAAGGUACUUCUAGGUAGGUAGUAUAUCAUAUUUAUCUGUGUAUUUUAUAGUACAUUGUACAGCAAACUACUCAUGAUUGUCACAUGUCACAUACGUCACAUAUCACACUUUCACCAUAGGGUACAUGCUAUGUGUACACAUUUCUAAAAGGGACUAUAGUAUCAAAUGGUAUUUAAAAGAUACUUUAUUUUUGAGUUUCCUAUUUCAGCAAGAUAGUCAAUUCCCCAUUCCCACUUUUCCACACACAUAAGCCAAUCCUAUACUCACUGCCUUUCAUAGCCUCUUUUGUUCAAGAAAUGCACUAGGAUCAGUGCCUCUGACCUCACCUUCUCCUUCCUCUUCUAGAAAGGCAUUUAUGCACCACAUGCAAGCCUCUUCUGCUGUUAUUCAUAAUCAUUGCUACUGUAUCCAUUCUGCCUUCACCAGUCUUGUUACCAACCUUCUUUGCUUGUGUACUCUACACAGGCUAGGCCAGCAAUUCUUCACAUUUUACACUCAGAAAUUUGUUGAUGAUAAUUUCAUUCCUCUCAUAGGAUCUCACAUUCAGUAUGUUUUUUUUUUUGAUAAGCAGAGUUAGAGAGAGAGAGAGAGAGAGAAUGGUCUUCUUUCCAUUGGUUCACCCCCUAGAUGGCUGCUAUGGCCGGCACGCUGCACCUGUCUAAAGCCAGGAGCAAGGUACUUCCUCCUAGUCUCCCAUGUAGGUCCAGGGCCCAAGGACUUGGGCCAUCCUCCACUGCCUUCCCAGGCCACAGCAGAGAGCUGGACUGGAAGAGGAGCAACCAGGACAGAAUCCAGCACCCCAACUGGGACUAGAACCCGGGGUGCUGGCACCGCAGGCAGAGGAUUAGCCUAGUGAGCCACAGCGCUGGCCUCAGUAUGUUUUCUAAGUAAAUGUCACUUAAUGUUUUCUUCUCUCUCUCUCUCCUCCCUCCUGCACACAGCCUCUCCCUACAUAAAGUAAUAGUAAGAAUGAUGAAGAAGACAAUGGAGAUAUGAUUUACACAGUUUGGGAAGAGGAAGCCUUUCUUUGUCAUUUGCAUGUUAUUUUUCUCAAACAUGUUUACAUCAGAGCUUCCCUGUUAUUUGAGGAAAUCAUUAUGUUGCACAACAAAUUGACUUUAUUAGAGAGCACUGAUUUUCUCUUUGGCUGAUUUUACUUUUUUGGAAAGCAAGUACUACUUACUCAAUGUGAACAGGAUUCUAUCUGUGAAGGGUAUUUAAGCAGUGUCCUACAAAUGGAACUUCUAUGAUUUUUGACUUCUCAUAUUGGGGAAGUCCUUUUAGAAAAGCAAUCAGAAAUGUGUUGCAGAAGAUUCACCCAAAGACUAUGAUCUUUCUUGCCAGUGCGACUGCAAUAGGGAAUGAUCACAAGGCAUUUCUUUCCAGCAGCAGAUGCAAGCAAACUGCUGUAUAAUACAUGAGCUGGAAACUCAGGUUGUCUCAGAUUUUAAGAUUAUUUUUAUAUCAUUACUUUUAUGUAUUGUUUAUUUUUAUAAUUUACAGUUUCUACUGUGAAGGCAAGUCAAAUAAAUAGGUAGAUUAUUGACUUUUAAUCAUCCAGAAAUAAAAAAGAAAUACCUGAGCUAUUUGCUUCUCAAACCCUCCAAAUGAAGAAAAUUAUACAUCCUAGUAAAUAAUAAAGGCAUAAUAUUUUAAAGAAUGGGCUAAGGAAUGUUUUUAGUAAAUUUUGUCUUGAUUAAAAUCAUUUAAGAGUACAAGUUAUAGUAUUUUGUAUGUUCUAACAUUUAGGCAUGAUGUGAUUCUUCUUAGUAAAUCCAUGUAUCUGUUUACUGGGACUCUUUAAAGGAGAGAAACACACACACACAUCCUGACAUACAUACUCUCACACUCAUACACAUUCAUAUACACAGUCACCCAUACUUACACACUUACACACACACCCUCACACACACACUCAUAUACAUGCUCACCCAUACUUACACAGUCACACACAUAUCACACGCAUACUCUCACAGUCACACAUACACACUCACUCAUACACACACUCACCCAUACACACACUCACUCAUACUUAGUCACUCACACACAAUUAUACUAUCUGAUAUUAGUUAAUUGGGCAGACUAGGAUUAGUUAUAUUUCAUCAAACUUUCCAAAAAAACCUUUCAGAGGGAAAAAAUUCAUCUCUGGAUGCCACUGGGCCUUGGAAAUCAUAGCUACACCUUCUGUUUCAUUGUGGGCUGGCAGAAAAUAACAUACAGCUCCUUGUAGGAGCUCAGCUAUUUUUCACUGUGAAUUAGAACACACUUAUCCAUUGUGUGAAUUCUUUUUUUUUUUUUUGACAGGCAGAGUGGACAGUGAGAGAGAGAGAGACAGAGAGAAAGGUCUUCCUUUGCUGUUGGUUCACCCUCCAAUGGCCACCAUGGCUGGCAUGCUGCAGCUGGUGCACCAUGCUGAUCCGAUGGCAGGAGCCAGGUAUUUCUCCUGGUCUCCCAUGGGGUGCAGGGCCCAAGGACUUGGGCCAUCCUCCACUGCACUCCCAGGCCACAGCAGAGAGCUGGCCUGGAAGAGGGGCAACUGGGACAGAAUCCGGCACCCUGAUCGGGACUAGAACCCGGUAUGCUGGCCCCGCAAGGUGGAGGAUUAGCCUAGUGAGCCGCGGCGCCGGCCCCAUUGUGUGAAUUCUAAACUUCUUACAUUUUAGACUGAGCUCCAUUUUAAGAACAAAUUUUUCCUAUUUUUUAAAAAUAUUUUCUAAUUCUUCAUUGUAUUAAAUGUAUUAUUUCCAAAUACUAAGGCCUUAGGCUACAGUCCUCUCUUAAAGGUUAGAGUUUACAAUUAAUUAUUGAAUCCUACAAUAUGCGGGCAUUUAUCUAAAUUAUUUACUUAAUUUAACCAUCUUCACAUGAAUUCUGGGUUAAAGGUCAGGAAACGAAGGAAGUAGGGUUGAAUAAGCAGGUGAGCGGCAGAGGUUGUGCUCUUAACAUCAGAUGAAUGUGGCUUCUUGGGUAACCAAGAGUCUGCUUGUGUGUCUUAGUUAUCAUAGCAAUACUUAAGUUAUCAUAAAAAUACUUAGUAUCAUAAUUAAAUAGAGGUAUUUUCUAAUUCUUCUAUUUUUAAUUUCAAAGAUUUAUUUAUUUAUUUGAAAGGCAGAGCUAUAUAGAGAGGGAGAGAAACUAGAAAAAGGGUCUUCCAUCCACAGGUUUAAUCCUUGAAUGGCCACAAUGGCCAGGGCUGAGCCAGGCUGAAUUAAGAAGCCUGAUCUCCAUCUGGGUCUCCCACAUGGCGGCAGGGACCCAAGUUCUUGGCUCUACUGCUUUCCAACAAGCUCCCUGCUAAUUCUAUUGGGAAAGCAGAAGAAUGCAGAUGGAGUUCUUGACUCUUGGCUUUGGUUGACCCAGCCCAAGACCUUUGUGGUCAUUUGGGGAGUGAACCAGUGGGUGGAGGAUCUCUCUCUCUGUCUCUCCUUCUCUAUCACUUGCUCUGCCUUUUAAAUAAAUAAAUAAUGCUUAAAAAUGGAGAAUCAUUCUGUUCAUACUUAGACCUCAAGCCUGUGUGUUAAGAACUUACUAAAUUUCAUAUCUAAAAUUGUUUUCUAGAGAGGAUUUUGUCCAUCUUAUUAUAAUAUCGUAUGAUGAGUGGUUAUAUACAGUUCAUGUUUUGUAAGGAGAAAAUUUGACACAUCUCCAAUUAGGUCAUCAGUUGUUUGAAGGCAGAUUGGAAAACCAAGGAAUGUGUUGCCCAUGAUGGAGGUGAGAGUAUUUUACUGCUUCUGCUCUCCAUUUGUCCCAAGACUAGCACAGCACUUGGGAAAGCAGUAACUCAGCCAUGAUGAAUACAGUAAAUCACAUGAUUACAUAUAUUUGAAUGAAUGAGUUGGUACUAAUUUUUUUCAGAUCCCAAGAAGGAAAUUACAAGUCUGAAGUCAACAGCAAACCCUGGAAGGAAAGGACAGCAUUUACCAAGAGCAAAUCCAAGGACUAGAAGCAGAAUUUGCCCAUCACAACUAUGUGACUAGACUGAGGAGAUACAAGAUAGCAGAGAAUCUGGAUCUCACCAAAAGACAGGUGAAAGUGUGGUUCCAGAACAGGGAUGAAGAG